UUGUAAUCUGCAGAAGGUGCCUCGGGUGCGACGCCGGUCCAAGUCCCUUGGAAUGGGGCGUCACAGAGGGUGAGAAUCCCGUACGUGGCCGGAGGGUCAAUCCCGUGCGAGGCCCUUUCGACGAGUCGAGUUGUUUGGGAAUGCAGCUCUAAAUUGGUGGUAAAUUUCAUCUAAAGCUAAAUACCGGCCAGAGACCGAUAGCGCACAAGUAGAGUGAUCGAAAGAUGAAAAGCACUUUGAAAAGAGAGUUAAAAAGUACGUGAAAUUGUUGAAAGGGAAGCGCUUGCAACCAGACUCGCGCGCGGGUGUUCAGCCGUCCCUCGGGGCGGUGCGCUCUCCCGCGUCCGGGCCAGCAUCGGUUUAGGCGGCCGGACAAAGGUCUCGGGAACGUAGUUCUCUUCGGGGAAUGUUAUAGCCCGGGGCGCAAUGCGGCCAGCCUGGACCGAGGACCGCGCUUUUGCUAGGAUGCUGGCGUAAUGGUUGCCAGCGACCCGUCUUGAAACACGGACCAAGGAGUCGACCAACUGCGCGAGUGUUAGGGCGUCAAACCCUUGCGCGCAAUGAAAGUGAACGGAGGUGCGAGCUUCGGCGCAGCAUCGACCGAUCCUGAAGUUUACGGAUGGAUUUGAGUAUGAGCGAAGUUGGUCGGACCCGAAAGAUGGUGAGCUAUGCGUGAAUAGGGUGAAGCCAGAGGAAACUCUGGUGGAGGCUCGCAGCGGUUCUGACGUGCAAAUCGAUCGUCAAAUUUGCGUAUAGGGGCGAAAGACUAAUCGAACCAUCUAGUAGCUGGUUCCUGUCGAAGUUUCCCUCAGGAUAGCAGCAACGAAAACAGUCUCAUGAGGUAGAGCGAACGAUUAGAGGCCUUGGGGCAAAAAUUGCCUUAACCUAUUCUCGAACUUCGAAUAUGUGAGAAGUCCUUGUUACUUAGUUGAA
rnacentral:rRNA from 1 species